GUUGUCUAAAGGGGGGCUGGAAGAAAGAAGGAGACAGAAUCUUUAGCAGGGUUGUCUGUGGUGACAGGACAAGAAAAAAUGGUUUCAAACUUAAAGUGAUGAGAUUUAUGUUGGAUAUAGGGAAAAAGUCUUUUACAGUGAAAGUGGUGAGGCACUGGAACAGGUUGCCCAGAGAUGUGGUGGAAACUCCAUCCCUGGAGAUGCUCAAGGCCAGACUGGACCAGACUCUGAGUAACCUGAUCGAACUGUGAAUGUCACUGUUCAUUGCAGGGCAGCUGGACCAGAUGGCCUCUAAAGGUCCUUCCAACUUUAAGGAUUUUGUGCUUCACUUCAAAUGUCACCUACCGGUUUUAUGGCCAAUAAUCUUUUUCUUUCCUUUUCAUGCUGAAUCAAAAACACUGAUUUAUAAAAUCUCACAAGAACUUUUCCUCCAAAUUUCAACCCAAAAGAAAUCGUGAAAGACUUUAUCUUGGUUAACUCCGUCAGCUGACUGAGUGCGUGCCCUGCCCUGCUCGGCAUACAAGGAGACCAUUGUUAAUAGUCAGAAAACACCUCAACACUUCAUACAGAAAUCACGUGGGAAGACCUUCAUGGCAACUAGAUGGGUCAGUUGGCAAGGCGAGGACUGAUAGUGAUGGGAAGCUUACUUUGUGUGUUUAUAAUUACCACAAACACCGCUCAGGAUAUUUUUACUUCUUUUUCUUGUGACUCUGCUGUCAGCAAACUCAAAUAUCCUUAUGGCUUCCAGUUUACUGGGAUUUGCAUUUUUCUUGAAAUCCAUGCUAGCAUUAUGACGGAGCACUAUUCCUGUCACCAAGCAGGUGUAACGCUUUUUGAAGAUUCCAAAAAUGGACAAUAAAUCAACUGAGGAAACGAUUUCCUUAUUUUUCCAUCCAAGUAGAAGCUCUGUCUUCACACCUGUGACAAAGGAAGGAAGCGUUCUUUGCCAAGAAUGAUGAUACCAUUGUUUCUGAAAGAGGUGCGGACAAAUCAGAAUACAACUAUUUAAGAGG